CUCAUCGGAGGGGACUUCAACAUGAUCACCUCCGUGGCGGAUAAAAACAACUCGAACCUCAACCACCGUGUCAUGAGCAGGUUCAGACGGUUCAUCGCUGAUGAGGAGCUACGAGACAUGUACCUUCAUGGCCGCCGCUACACGUGGUCGAGCGAGCGCAACUCCCCUACGCUCGUGCGCAAUGAUCGUGUUCUUUGCAGCUCCGGUUGGGAAAUUGAGCACCCAAACUGCCUGCUGCACUGCCUCACCUACGCCGCAUCCGAUCACUGCCCAUUGGUCAACGACUGCGCUGCGCGCCCACCCGGGGCUAGGCGGUUCCAUUUCGAACGCUUUUGGCCAAAAAUGGAGGGUCUCCAGGGUGCCGUCCAAGAGGGAUGGAAUGCUUUGCCACCUGACCCCGACCCCUUCUGGUGACUCGUCUCCCGCCUCAAGAGCACCGCUAGGCACCUCCAACGCUGGAGCGCCCGCACCAUUGGAAACGUGUUCCUCUAG
rnacentral:rRNA from 1 species